UACGUAGGUGGCAAGCGUUGUCCGGAUUUAUUGGGCGUAAAGCGCGCGCAGGUGGUUUCUUAAGUCUGAUGUGAAAGCCCACGGCUCAACCGUGGAGGGUCAUUGGAAACUGGGGAACUUGAGUGCAGAAGAGGAAAGUGGAAUUCCAAGUGUAGCGGUGAAAUGCGUAGAGAUUUGGAGGAACACCAGUGGCGAAGGCGACUUUCUGGUCUGUAACUGACACUGAGGCGCGAAAGCGUGGGGAGCGAACAGG
rnacentral:rRNA from 1 species